rnacentral:lncRNA from 1 species
GGCAAAUGCAGUGAGCGGCCUUAGCUUCCUGAAUGGGUGCUGGCAGCGUCUUUGUGUAGCCUGCCUAGUUUAGAUGUCCGUGCCUGGUGACUGUUACCCAGGAUAUUCUGAGCCAGCCAACAGUUACAUCUGCUGCCUACCUCUGGGGAUCCUUAAGGGCAAGAGUGAAGAUGGUCACCAACAAAAGGACUGAGUGAAAUGAAACUGUUCCUUUUAUCCUGUCUGGGCCUGUCUGGCUCAGAGGGGCCAACAUGAAUGGCAAGAAAUCUGAGAAUGUCCUCCUGCAUGAAUCCCUGGGACAAUCAAUCCGUCCCCAGAUGUCAUUUGAAUGGCUGAUACACAUCAUAUGAGGAAGUGAUGGCAAGAUCCUAAAGAAGCUGUGGACGAUGAGACUUGGCAAAGUCAUACCCUGCACUGCAGACAUGCUCAAAUGUUCAUUCCCCGAGACAGAGAAAUAAGAAGGCCAGGUCGUGGUAGCACACACCUUUAAUUCCAGCACUCGUGAGGGGGAGGCAGUCAGAUCUCUGAGUUUGAUGCUGGCAGCCUGGUCUACAGAGAGAGUUCCAGGACAGUCAGGACUACACAGAGAAACCCUCUCUUGAAAAACAACAAGAAAAGAAAAUAUUCGUCUCAGAAGGAAGGAAAGAUGGGAAGAAAGGAAGGAGGAGCCAGCAUGUGUGACACAGGAUGAGCAGUCCCAGCCGUGGUCCUCACUAGCUGUGCUACUUGCGGGUGGGGGGUGGGGGGCUAAGCCCUUUGCAUAAGAGCUCUUGCCUGUAGUCCAGCACUUGGGAGGCUGGGGCAGGAGAAUUGUCAUCACUUGGAUACCAGCUUGGGCUACAAAGUGAGUUCCAGCCUGAGCCCCAUAUGGGGGCAGGGACACAACAGGACAAGAAAGACUGGGGGCAAUUCUAAGGUGCCUCAUCUGAAAGAUCAAAGUCCUACUUUCUCCUUUCUGAUGUACUUGGAGAUCUCUGCCCACAGGAGGUCAGAAUGCAAGCAUGGGGAGAACAAGGAAGAACCCAUCCCCUUGUGUGCUGCCUGUGUGGAUAUUGUGAUUGCUGUCAGUACUAACUAAACCCUGGGUGACUGAGCCCAGGAGUCAUGCACAUUUAUCCCUGUCAUCAGUCCAAUUCUGCCAGGCUGAGAAGGCCCCAGGCUCUGGGAUACAAGAAGCUGCUAUUUGGGACCCACCCUUUUCUCCACCAAGCAGAUGUAGCUCUUGGAAGCCAAGGCUAGGGGCCCAAAGCAGGAAGGAGAUUGAGCUGGGGUCCUGAAGAGGGUGCUGCUUGACUGCACAGAGCCUGCCCUGCCCUACCCUGCCCUGCAGAGGUGGAGUAGGUUGGCUCCAACAAUGACUAAGUUACAGAAUAAAGGAUGUGGCCCUCCCUGGCCAGGCAGAAAGUGUGCAGGAGCCAUGCCUGAGCAAUA